rnacentral:lncRNA from 1 species
GUGCGCUAAAUUUUUAGAUAUAAUGGUAUAAAUACACCUUACCGCUAUUUGUCUGCCAUUACUGGAUAUCGCACAGGUUCCCGUAAAAAUUUGACAUCAUAAAACAAAAUAUCUGACGCCACAAUGGAAAAGUGAUUGUUGUAUGCUUCAAAAGUUCAAGAGGCCGGGUCAGCCAGGAUUAGCAAUAUAGGUGUAUUGUGUUCCAAAGUUGGUGUCAUUUUUAUCAUACGAUCCGUCCUGACAUAGAAAUAUUAUUGGUUUACAAUGAGGCCAUAUAUAUUUACAUGAUAAGUGUAAAUAAGUUCAGUUUUGGUUGAUAUGGUCAAAUAAUUUUGUUAAAACGACUCAGUCUGAUACAUGUAUAUCGAAACUACUGAAAUUUGUUUACAAUUCAAUAUUUUGAAUAAAAAG